CCUACGGGGGGCAGCAGUGGGGGAUAUUGCACAAUGGGGGAAACCCUGAUGCAGCGACGCCGCGUGGGUGAAGAAGUAUUUCGGUAUGUAAAGCCCUAUCAGCAGGGAAGAAAAAAGACGGUACCUGACCAAGAAGCCCCGGCUAACUACGUGCCAGCAGCCGCGGUAAUACGUAGGGGGCGAGCGUUAUCCGGAUUCACUGGGUGUAAAGGGAGCGUAGACGGCCGUGCAAGCCAGGAGUGAAAGCCCGGGGCCCAACCCCGGGACUGCACUUGGAACUGGGCGGCUGGAGUGCGGGAGGGGCAGGCGGAAUGCGUGGUGUAGCGGUGAAAUGCGUAGAUAUCAGGAGGAACACCGGCGGCGAAGGCGGCCUGCUGGACCGCGACUGACGUUGAGGCUCGAAAGCGUGGGGAGCGAACAGGAUUAGAUACCCCUGUAGUC
rnacentral:rRNA from 1 species